rnacentral:piRNA from 1 species
ACUUGUGCUGUAUAAACUGUAUU